rnacentral:rRNA from 1 species
CCUACGGGCGGCAGCAGUGAGGAAUAUUGGUCAAUGGACGAGAGUCUGAACCAGCCAAGUAGCGUGAAGGAUGACUGCCCUAUGGGUUGUAAACUUCUUUUAUAUGGGAAUAAAACGUUCCACGUGUGGGAUUUUGUAUGUACCAUAUGAAUAAGGAUCGGCUAACUCCGUGCCAGCAGCCGCGGUAAUACGGAGGAUCCGGGCGUUAUCCGGAUUUAUUGGGUUUAAAGGGAGCGUAGGUGGAUUGUUAAGUCAGUUGUGAAAGUUUGCGGCGCAACCGUAAAAUUGCAGUUGAAACUGGCAGUCUUGAGUACAGUAGAGGUGGGCGGAAUUCGUGGUGUAGCGGUGAAAUGCUUAGAUAUCACGAAGAACUCCGAUUGCGAAGGCAGUUCACUGGACUGCAACUGACACUGAGGCUCGAAAGUGUGGGUAUCAAACAGGAUUAGAGACCCUGGUAGUC